rnacentral:rRNA from 1 species
AUUGAACGCUGGCGGCAUGCCUUACACAUGCAAGUCGAACGGCAGCACGGGAGCAAUCCUGGUGGCGAGUGGCGAACGGGUGAGUAAUAUAUCGGAACGUGCCCAGUCGUGGGGGAUAACGUAGCGAAAGCUACGCUAAUACCGCAAAUACGAUCUAUGGAUGAAAGCGGGGGAUCGCAAGACCUCGCGCGAUUGGAGCGGCCGAUAUCAGAUUAGGUAGUUGGUGAGGUAAAGGCGUCACCAAGCCGACGAUCUGUAGCUGGUCUGAGAGGACGUCCAGCCACACUGGGACUGAGACACGGCCCAGACUCCUACGGAGGCAGCAGUGGGGAAUUUUUGGACGAAAUGGGCGCAAGCCUGAUCCAGCAAUGCCGCGUGCAGGA